rnacentral:rRNA from 1 species
UACGACGGGUGCAAGCGGUAAUCGGCACUACUGGGCGUAAAGCGCGCGUAGGUGGUUUGUUCAGUUGGAUGUGCAAGCCCCGGGCUCAACCUGGGAACUGCAUCCAAAACUGGCAAGCUAGAGUAUGGCAGAGGGUGGUGGAAUUUCCUGUGUAGCGGUGAAAUGCGUAGAUAUAGGAAGGAACACCAGUGGCGAAGGCGACCACCUGGGCUAAUACUGACACUGAGGUGCGAAAGCGUGGGGAGAAAACAGGAUGAGAUACCCCGGUAGUCC